rnacentral:rRNA from 1 species
UACGAAGGGGGCUAGCGUUGCUCGGAAUCACUGGGCGUAAAGGGUGCGUAGGCGGGUUUUUAAGUCAGGGGUGAAAUCCUGGAGCUCAACUCCAGAACUGCCUUUGAUACUGAAGAUCUUGAGUUCGGGAGAGGUGAGUGGAACUGCGAGUGUAGAGGUGAAAUUCGUAGAUAUUCGCAAGAACACCAGUGGCGAAGGCGGCUCACUGGCCCGAUACUGACGCUCAGGCACGAAAGCGUGGGGAGCAAAAGGG